rnacentral:tRNA from 1 species
GGCCGAGUGGUGGAACUGGUAGACACGCGGCACUCAAAAUGCCGUGCCCUCGGGCGUGUCGGUUCGACUCCGACCUCGGCCACCA